UCUCCGUAGGUGAACCUGCGGAGGGAUCAUUACACAAAUACAAUAUGAAGGCUUCGGCUGGAUUAUUUAUUUCACCCUUGUCUUUUGCGCACUUGUUGUUUCCUGGGCGGGUUCGCCCGCCACCAGGACCACACCAUAAACCUUUUUUGUUAAUGCAGUCAGCGUCAGUACAACAAAUGUAAAUCAUUUACAACUUUCAACAACGGAUCUCUUGGUUCUG
rnacentral:misc_RNA from 1 species